rnacentral:rRNA from 1 species
UACGUAUGGUGCAAGCGUUAAUCGGAAUUACUGGGCGUAAAGCGUGCGCAGGCGGUUCUAUAAUACAGAUGUGAAAUCCCCGGGCUCAACCUGGGAACUGCAUUUGUGACUGUAGAGCUGGAGUGCGGCAGAGGGGGAUGGAAUUCCGCGUGUAGCAGUGAAAUGCGUAGAUAUGCGGAGGAACACCGAUGGCGAAGGCAAUCCCCUGGGCCUGCACUGACGCUCAUGCACGAAAGCGUGGGGAGCAAACAGG